rnacentral:rRNA from 1 species
CCUACGGGUGGCAGCAGUCGAGAAUCAUUCACAAUGGGGGAAACCCUGAUGGUGCGACGCCGCGUGGGGGAAUGAAGUUCUUCGGAUUGUAACCCCCUGUCAUGUGGGAGCAAAUUAAAAAGAUAGUACCACCCGAGGCAGAGACGGCUAACUCUGUGCCAGCAGCCGCGGUAAUACAGAGGUCUCAAGCGUUGUUCGGAAUCACUGGGCGUAAAGCGUGCGUAGGCUGUUUCGUAAGUCGUGUGUGAAAGGCGCGGGCUUAACCCGCGGACGGCACAUGAUACUGCGAGACUAGAGUAAAGGAGGGGGAACCGGAAUUCCCGGUGUAGCAGUGAAAUGCGUAGAGAUCGAGAGGAACACUCGUGGCGAAGGCGGGUUCCUGGACAUUAACUGACGCUGAGGCACGAAGGCCAGGGGAGCGAAAGGGAUUAGAUACCCGGGUAGUC